rnacentral:rRNA from 1 species
CGUCUAUAUACGUAUAGCAUAUCAAUAAGCGGAGGAAAAGAAACUAACUAGGAUUCCCUCAGUAACGGCGAGUGAAGCGGGAAGAGCUCAAAUUUGAAAUCUUCAAGGUUCUACCUUGACGAAUUGUAGUUUAAAGAAGUGUUUUCUGUUGGAGUUUUGGUAAAAGUUCUUUGGAAUAGGACAUCAUAGAGGGUGAGAAUCCCGUAUUUGACCAUUAUUUCCAACUUUGUGAUACACUUUCAAAGAGUCGGAUUGUUUGGGAAUGCAGUCCAAAAUGGGUGGUAAAUUUCAUCUAAAGCUAAAUACUGGCGAGAGACCGAUAGCGAACAAGUACCGUGAGGGAAAGAUGAAAAGAACUUUGAAAAGAGAGUUAAACAGUACGUGAAAUUGUCAAAAGGGAAGCGUUUGACACCAGAGUUGUUUUUUCCGAAAAUCAAUUACGAAUGUUUUGUUUUUGAGGAGUUAUGACUUCAUCGGCUUGCUUCUCUCUUUACGAAACUUUCUUAAUGCACUUUUCGGUUAACAAGUCAACAUCAAUUUCUUUUGUUGUAAAAGGGUAUGAGGAAGGUGGCUUUCUUUUCGGAGAAAGUGUUUAUAGCCUUGUGCCUCUGCAAUCGGAGAGAUUGAGGUCUGCAGCGUAGAUCCUUCGGGGUUAGAUACAUUUGUGCUAAGUUAUAGCCUUUCAUAGACAACUUGUUGACUAUGAUCAGUCAUGUAGCUUACUCGCUUAUGUCAUUUUACCUACGCUUAGGAUGUUGAUAUGCAUGACUGAUAU